CCCGGGGCGCACGGGUGAGUAUCGCGUAUCCAACCUGCCCCUUACUUGGGGAUACCCCGUUGAAAGACGGCCUAAUACCCGAUGUGUUUCAUUGACGGCAUCCGAUAUGAAACAAAGGUUUUCCGGUAAGGGAUGGGGAUGCGUCUGAUUAGCUAGUUGGCGGGGCAACGGCCCACCAAGGCGACGAUCAGUAGGGGUUCUGAGAGGAAGGUCCCCCACAUUGGAACUGAGACACGGUCCAAACUCCUACGGGAGGCAGCAGUGAGGAAUAUUGGUCAAUGGACGCAAGUCUGAACCAGCCAAGUAGCGUGCAGGAUGACGGCCCUAUGGGUUGUAAACUGCUUUUAUGUGGGAAUAAAGUGGCGCACGUGUGCGCCAUUGCAUGUACCUCAUGAAUAAGGACCGGCUAAUUCCGUGCCAGCAGCGCGUAUACGGAAGGUCCGGGCGUUAUNGGAUUUAUUGGGUUUAAAGGGAGUGUAGCGUCUGUUAAGCGUGUUGUGAAAUUUAGGUGCUCAACAUUUAACUUGCAGCGCGAACUGUCAGACUUGAGUGCACGCAGCGCAGGCGGAAUUCAUGGUGUAGCGGUGAAAUGCUUAGAUAUCAUGAGGAACUCCGAUCGCGAAGGCAGCNUGCGGGAGUGUUACUGACGCUUAAGCUCGAAGGUGCGGGUAUCGAACAGGAUUAGAUACCCUGGUAGUCCGCACAGUAAACGAUGGAUGCCCGCCGUUGGCGCCCUGCGCCUGCGGCCAAGCGAAAGCAUUAAGCAUCCCACCUGGGGAGUACGCCGGCAACGGUGAAACUCAAAGGAAUUGACGGGGGCCCGCACAAGCGGAGGAACAUGUGGUUUAAUUCGAUGAUACGCGAGGAACCUUACCCGGGCUUGAAUUGCAGUCGCUGCCCACAGAGACGUGGGCUUCCCUUCGGGGCGUCUGUGAAGGUGCUGCAUGGUUGUCGUCAGCUCGUGCCGUGAGGUGUCGGCUUAAGUGCCAUAACGAGCGCAACCCCCUUUCCCAGUUGCCAUCGGGUGAUGCCGGGCACUCUGGGGACACUGCCACCGCAAGGUGCGAGGAAGGUGGGGAUGACGUCAAAUCAGCACGGCCCUUACGUCCGGGGCUACACACGUGUUACAAUGGCCGGUACAGAGGGACGGUGCAAUGCAAGUUGCAUCCAAUCUUGAAAUCCGGUCCCAGUUCGGACUGGGGUCUGCAACCCGACCCCACGAAGCUGGAUUCGCUAGUAAUCGCGCAUCAGCCAUGGCGCGGUGAAUACGUUCCCGGGCCUUGUACACACCGCCCGUCAAGCCAUGAAAGCCC
rnacentral:rRNA from 1 species